rnacentral:rRNA from 1 species
AUGGCCCUGCCGAUCCACCUUAUGUCCGUCUUACCUUUGCCGGCGUGGGCCAUCAAGAUUAUAAACAGACGAUGCCGCAGUUUUGUUUGGAAAGGGGAAGAGGAGAUAAAUGGGGGCCACUGUCUCUUGCCAUGGGCUAGAGUAUGUUCACCUUUGGAGGCAGGCGGGCUCGGAAUUAUUAACCUAAAAUGGUUUGGCUGGGCCCUUAGAUGCAAAUGGCCGUGGCUGCAGUGGGACGCCGAGGAGAGACCGUGGCAGCUUAUUCCUGAAUCCACGGAGAAGGAAGUCUAGGCCAUGUUCAGCGCGGCCUGCAGAAUCAGUCUUGGGGAUGGGAAAUCCGCACGGUUCUGGACGGAUAAUUGGCUCCCGGAUGGACGCUCUGCCUGUAUAAGAGAUAUAUCUGGAGGUUUAUCGCUUAUCGCCAUGGCACAAUACCUGCAGAUUUGGGAGAUUGUUCAGGCCACUUCACUGACGGACGGAACCAGAGACCGGGCGAUAUGGAAGUUGACACAUAAUUUCCAAUUCUCAGUUAAGAGCGCUUACCAACUAUUCUUCAUGGGGAACACUAACUUUGCUUGUUAUAAGCCAAUCUGGAAAUCCAAGGCACCCCCUCGAUGCAAAUUCUUCAUGUGGCUUGCAGUACAUCAACGGUGUCUGACUGCGGACAACCUGGAGAGAAGGAGCUAGCCUUCCAAUGGCAUUUGCCCUCUGUGCAAAUCACAACCGGAAACAUGCUUACAUCUUUUUAUGCACUGCAACUACACCAAGCUACUUUGGCGUCGCUUUAGAGCUUGGACGAGAGCUGAUUUUCUUAUCCCGGAUGCUACUUUCAGCUCCACGGAGGAAUGGUGGCUGCAGGCCAGGGCGGCUAUCCCGAAACCAUUCAGGAGAAACUUCGACACGGUUACCAUCCUUAUACACUGGAGGAUUUGGAAAGAAAGAAAUGCUAGGAUUUUUGACACUGUGGACAGUUCGGUGGACAGGGUGAGGGAUCUGAUCCUAGAGGAUGUCAAUGUCUGGAGGGCUGCGGGGUGUAUUGCUGACCUGUCGUCGUGA